rnacentral:rRNA from 1 species
GAUGAACGCUGGCGGCGUGCUUAACACAUGCAAGUCGAACGGAAAGGCCACAGCUUGCUGUGGUACUCGAGUGGCGAACGGGUGAGUAACACGUGGGUGAUCUGCCCUGUACUUCGGGAUAAGCUUGGGAAACUGGGUCUAAUAACGGAUAGGAAUCACAUGUGGGUGUGUGGUUGGAAAGCUUUUGCGGUAUGGGAUGAGCUCGCGGCCUAUCAGCUUGUUGGUGGGGUAAUGGCCUACCAAGGCGUCGACGGGUAGCCGGCCUGAGAGGGUGUACGGCCACAUUGGGACUGAGAUACGGCCCAGACUCCUACGGGAGGCAGCAGUGGGGAAUAUUGCACAAUGGGCGCAAGCCUGAUGCAGCGACGCCGCGUGGGGGAUGACGGCCUUCGGGUUGUAAACUCCUUUCGUCAGGGACGAAGCGAAAGUGACGGUACCUGGAUAAGAAGCACCGGCUAACUACGUG